CCCUUAGAUGUCCUGGGCUGCACGCGCGCUACACUGGAAGUUACGGCUUGAGAUACUACCUUGUCCGAAAUGGUCCGGGUAAUCACCUAAAAGCUUGUCAUAAUUGGAAUGGAUUAUUGUAACUAGUAAUCCUGAACGAGGAAUUCCUAGUAAGUCCCAGUCAACAGCUGGUACUGAUUACGUCCCUGCCCUUUGUACACACCGCCCGUCGCUACUACUGAUUGGACGUUUAAGCAAGAUUUUUAAACACUGACAGUGUGUAGUUCACGCUAUACUACAGUGAGAAGAAGAAGAUCGAGCUUACUUGUCUAGAGGAAGUAAAAGUCGUAACA
rnacentral:rRNA from 1 species